rnacentral:tRNA from 1 species
GGGGGCGUGGCGGAAUUGGCAGACGCAGGGGACUUAAAAUCCCUCGACUUCGGUUGUGAGGGUUCGAGUCCCUCCGCCCCUA